rnacentral:ribozyme from 14 species
AUACUCGCGAGGAAGGGACCGUCCGCUCCGAGGAUUCUGAUUUCGACAUCAUCUCGCCGGGAGUGUUCCGGCUCGAAGACUGGAACGACACCUUGCGGGUUGAAACUUUGAUGCGGACGGCGG